GACGAACGCUGGCGGCGUGCUUAACACAUGCAAGUCGAGCGGUAAGGCCCUUUCGGGGGUACACGAGCGGCGAACGGGUGAGUAACACGUGGGUGACCUGCCUUUAGCUCUGGGAUAAAGCCUGGGAAACCGGGUCUAAUACCGGAUAUGACUCCGCGGCGCAUGUUGUGGGGUGGAAAGCCUUGUGCGGCUGGAGAUGGGCCCGCGGCCUAUCAGCUUGUUGGUGGGGUGAUGGCCUACCAAGGCGACGACGGGUAGCCGGCCUGAGAGGGCGACCGGCCACACUGGGACUGAGACACGGCCCAGACUCCUACGGGAGGCAGCAGUGGGGAAUCUUGCGCAAUGGGCGAAAGCCUGACGCAGCGACGCCGCGUGAGGGAUGACGGCCU
rnacentral:rRNA from 1 species